UCUGUGUGUCCUUGUGUCCACAUGGCAGUGUGUGUGGUGGUGUGAUGGUGUGGAGGUGUGUCCAUGUGACAGUGUGGCAGUGUGUGUGGCAGUGUCCAUAUGGCAGUGUGUCUGUGUGUUCAUGUGUGUGAUGGUGUGUCCAUGUGACAGUGUGUGUCUACAUAUUUAUAUUUUGAGAUACUAUACAAAUUUGAGCCAAUGACAUAGAAUUUUACAAAUCAAGAAGCUUAUUCUGGGGCCAUUUCUUUUGAUGUUUUCUCUAAACUACUAAACAGGCAUUAAUGAUCCAUAAAUUAUAUUAUCUACAUUUACAGCAUUUAAAAUGUGUUCAGCAUGAAAUAUUAGCUACAGGGGAAGCUAAAUAAAUUAAACAUGGAAUAAAGAUUUGUCCUUAAAUAUAAUCUACAAGAAGACUUUGAUAUUUGUUUUUCACAAGUGAAGCAUUCUUAUAAAGUGUCAUAACCUUUUUGGGGAAACUAUGGGAAAAAAUGGAGAAACUCUGAAGGGUUUUAAGUAUCUUACCUGAAGCUGCAGACUCCAUAACCUCUCUUUACAGGGAGCUCCUGCAGCCCCUACAGAAAUGAGUGGCUGAGAUUGUUGAUUGCAUAGCAGAGCUUCUCAUCUAAACCCUUUCCCUUUUUAGUGUCUGUGUAUCAGUAUAAAAGUUCUAUAAACUGUAGUUACUUAUUUUAAUCCCAAAGCACAGUAACAAUAUACUUCAUCCUAGGGUUGGCAGUUUCUCUGAGUGUUUUGUUUAAUUAUCAUUAUUAUAUCUGCAGGAUUCCAAAGCGCCUAAAAAGUAAAAUAUUUUAAAAAGGGGAAAGAGAGAAAGAGGAAGAAAAUAAAAUUAAUAGCCCAUUCUGUCACUGUUAUUACACACCAGAAUACCUUUUUGUUAAUCUGAUUAAAAUUAGUGACAUCAUUUAACAUUUAAGUCUUCAACAAAAGUUUGGAAUCCUGAAAAAGCCAUUUAAUUUGCUAAUAAAUAUAUCUGAAUUGAAUUAAAAUCCUUAUGUAUUACUUUAAAUAAAGAACACAAGAUGAAUUAUGAUGUAGAAAAUUCUAUCCCUCAUUGUCCAAAAUCUAAUAGUUAAAUUGAACUUGUUAAAUAAUAUUUUUGUCGAGGCGUGAGGCUUACACCUGGAAUCCCAGUAGUUUGGGAGGCAAAGGCAGGUGGAUUGCUUGAGCUGAGGAGUUGCAGACCAGGCUCGGCAACAUGGUGAAACCCAAUCUUUACCAAAAAAAAAAAAAAAAAAAAAUUAGCCAGGCAUAGUGGCUUGCCUGUAGUCCCAGCUACUCAGGAGGAUGAGAUGGGAGGAUCACCUGAGCCUGGGGAAGCCGGGGCUGCAGUAAGCCAUGAUUGUGCCACUGUACUCCAGCUUGGGCAACAGACUGAGACCCUGUCUCGAAAGAAGAAAGAAAGAAACAAAGAAAAUAAAGAAAAAGAAAGAAAGAAAGAGAAAGAAAAAGAAAGAAAAAGAGAAAGAGAAAGAAAGAAAGAAAGGCAGGCAGGCAGGCGAGAGAGCGAGGAAGGAAGGAAGGAAGCAAAGAAGGAAAGAAGGAAGGGAGGAAGAAAAAUAAUGGUUUUGGUGUCAAUAAUCUUUGUGGAAUUUUGCUUUAAUGAAAUAGAUUUAACUAAGUAGUGACAUGAUCUUCUUAAGUGUAUUGACCCUAGCAAUCAGAGGCAUCUGAAGCCCCACAAUGACUUGACACUUACAUUUGACAAACAUUGAUUCUCCUAUCAUACCUACGGCAUAGUUGGAAUUUCAGAAUUCCAACUUUCCCUAUGCUAUUUGAGCACACUGCUUAACAUCUCUAAGACUCGAUAUUUUUACUCUUAAGAUACUACAAAUAAUAGUACAUAGUUUAUAUGAUAUAAUAUGUAUCAAAAGCAUUAUACUUUCAGGCAGACAGCAAUUUCUCAAUAAAUAUUUGCUAAUGUUUUAGUACAAACAGGAAAAUUGGAUUAUGAUAUUUAUGACACUGUUGAUCCUCCUUCUAGAAACAUUUGUUUCUAAAACUUGUUUUCAAGUUAGAGCACUAUUUUGUGUUCAAAUUGAAAAUACUACAUGUUCAGAUUUUUUAAAAAACAGUAUUGCAUUAAUGUUUUAAUAAAAAUAUUCCUAAAUGAGCUUGAGCAAGGAGGAUGGGGAGAUAAGUAAAAUAAGGCUUUGUGGCGUAGGAGACAUUUGGUGGAAAUCUUUCAGCUCAACUAAGAUUUGAAAAAAAAAAAAGAGAAUUUUUAUAAAAAAUGUAAAGGCAGGAUUUACCCUGAUGAGCUUGUGGAGAAAAUACAAAGUCUAACGUAAUUCAAAAGAGACUAAUCAGUCAAAGUAGUUUUGAAGGAAAUAUCUUGAAGAGAGAGAACAUAAAAUGAAGAUCAGGUAUGUAAUUAUUUUAAUAAUCUAUCCAUGAGAUAAAAAGCAUUGGGUUUUUUUUUAUUUGUCAAAAAGGGACAAUAGUUUUAAGAACCAUUCUUUGUUCAGCCUAAAGAGGAUUUUACAUUUUGAGCCAGUGACAUAUUGUGCUAAGUAGGAUAAUAUCCUAA
rnacentral:lncRNA from 1 species